UUACAUCAAUUGGCCCAUCAGCGUUCU
rnacentral:piRNA from 1 species